CUGAAUCCCCAGAGUAGCCCUUCCCUGGUGCCCAACUGGCCUGGGGACAAACAGCGUCCACUACAUCUAGGACUGCCGGCUAAGUGGACACACUUCUUGACCUCCUACCAGGAACUUUGGGCCCUUAAAGACCUUCACCCGUGUGAAGAAAGGCCUGCACUGAGGAGCUGUCCAGGAUCUAAGAGGGGGAGAUUUGGGGUCAGCAUGGCCUUUCCUCUGAAGUCACCUUUUCCUGGCCCCCACCCUGUACCCACUAAAGCAGUGCCAUCUCCUGGGAGAAAAGGAGAACAUAUACAUAGAAUAAAGACUAUGAAGAUCUGCACCAAA
rnacentral:sRNA from 1 species